UACGUAGGGUGCAAGCGUUAAUCGGAAUUACUGGGCGUAAAGCGUGCGCAGGCGGUUUUGUAAGUCUGUCGUGAAAUCCCCGGGCUCAACCUGGGAAUUGCGAUGGAGACUGCAAGGCUAGAAUCUGGCAGAGGGGGGUAGAAUUCCACGUGUAGCAGUGAAAUGCGUAGAGAUGUGGAGGAACACCGAUGGCGAAGGCAGCCCCCUGGGUCAAGAU
rnacentral:rRNA from 1 species